rnacentral:lncRNA from 1 species
CCCCUUCUCCUUUUUCAACCGUGUCCCUCUUUCUCUUCUGGUCUUUGGCUUUUGCAGACUAGGAAGUAGAGGCUUCUUCUACAAGUUCCUGUUCUGUUUCUUCCUUGUGCCGAGUCCCCAUCUUUGCCACUACUCCCUGUUCCCUUCGUCUUCCUCGGACAGAGCACACUCACCAGAGAGGAAACCCAUUUGAAAUUUCUCCUUUCUCUCUUUUUUCCUUCUUUCUUCUUUGGUGAGAAGCUGGUCACCUGAAGCUCUCUACUUCUCUUUGGGUACUUCAUUUCUGU